GGCGGGCUACUCAGCGCGGGGGCUGAACCCUGCCAAGACUAACCCCGUCCGCCUGCGGUCCCCAGAGCUGCACUCACUGCCGGAGCCCGGGACGUGGGGCCCCGGGGGAGGAGGGCGAAGGGACUGAGCGAUGGCUCCGCGGGGACUCCCGGGGUCCGCCGUGCUCGCCGCUGCUGUCUUCGUGGGAGGAGCCGUGAGUUCGCCACUAGCCGCCUCGGAUCAUAGUGGCAGCCACCCGUUACCCUACAAAACCGAGACGACGCCCUCACCCACGAACAACAAUGGGAAUGGACACCCGGAAUACAUCGCAUAUGCCCUUGUCCCUGUGUUCUUCGUCAUGGGUCUCUUUGGCGUCCUCAUUUGCCACCUGCUUAAGAAGAAAGGCUAUCGAUGUACAACAGAAGCUGAGCAAGACGUUGAAGGAGAAAAGGUUGAAAAGAUAGAGUUGAACGACAGUGUAAAUGAAAACAGUGACACCGUUGGGCAGAUUGUCCAAUACAUCAUGAAAAACGAAGCAAAUGUUGACGUUUUAGCAGCAAUGGUGGAAGAUAACAGCGUGUGUGAUCCUGAAAGCCCAGUGACGCCGAGCACUCCUGGGAGCCCACCGGUGAGCCCCGGGCCCUUGUCACCAGGGCUCACCCCCGGGAAGCAUACCUGCGGCCACCAUCUGCACACAGUGGGGGGUCCCGUCGAGCGGGACGUGUGUCAUCGGUGUAGGCACAAGCGGUGGCACUUCAUAAAACCCACCAACAAGUCCAAAGAGGGCCGCCCGAGGCGCCAAGGAGAGGUCACCGUCCUCUCUGUGGGCAGGUGGAUUUUUAGUUCAUUCAUGGUUCUUGUUCAGUGGAAAAGCAAAACCCAUCACAUCUCCUCUUCCCCCUGCUCCACCCGCUCAGGUUUAGAGUUACAAAAGUGGAACCCAAGUCCAAUCAGAAGGAGCGGAGAAGUUUGAUGUCAGUUAGUGGGACCGACGGUGUCAAUGGGGAGGUGCCAGUGACGCCUGUGAAGAGACAGCAAAGUGACUCAGAGUAGCAGGUAUGACUAUAUGUGAAGAGUUCUAAAAGACUAAGAACUUAAAACAUGUGAAGUUGCCUAGGGAAUUAUUUUUUAUCUUUUAUACAGUUUCUAUGGUAGAGUCUACAGGCAAGUGGAUGAAAGCUAAAAGGGAAUACUGUUGCUAUGCUGGAUACAGAAUUCAGUUUGCUUUGAAACAAAUUUUGGUUUAAAAAAUGUCUGAUGAAAAAUUUUAUUCCUUAUCCAAGGAGGAAAAGAGCUCAUUUUUUUAAUCUUCCCAACCACUAUCCCUCCCAGUUCCCCAUCCGUGGCCUUGGUGUGCACACUGCCAUUUCUCCAGUACGCUCACUACGUACAGUGGAACUAUUUGUGUACGGUCUGAGCUAAUGCUCAGAGUGUGUGUGUGUGCACGCGUGUGUGUACACGUCUGUGUACCUGUGCUUCUGUUCCCCCAACCCUUGGAUCUCAUUUUGUUACUGGUUGUAAGAUGAUCCUCUUACAGUUUAACUGUAAUAAAAAAUAAAAGAUGCAUCUUCGCUGGUGAAGGCUCCUUGAAGAUAGUCUAGCCCUGGGUACUUGAUCCCCCCACCAAGAGAUUACGGAGCUGGAGGGAACCAGAUGCUAGACUUUGGAUUCGGAGACCAGAAAUCAGCACCGACCUGCUGCCAGCAUGCCCCUCCUGGGCCACUCGUAAAAUACUGAGUUGUUGUUUUUUUUUUAAACUCAAGCUAAGCAAAUCUUAUUUAGCCAUUGGAUAAGGGGGAAAAUGGUUUAAAGUCACUAGAAAAUGGUUUAAAGUCACUAUAAAAAAGCCUUGUUUUGAUAACCCAAGACCAAGACAAAACAAUCUCCACUUCUGAUGUAAGAUGGGCCCGCACCUUCCUCUGGUAUGUUUUCCUUGGUGUUCUUCCUGUUCUCCAUCUUGUAACUAGUGCCUGUUUUUAAAGGGUUCUUGAAGGUUACUUUCUCCUGUAGGCCUGGAAUACCCCACUUUUUAAAAAAAGAGCUGUACAGUUUAUAGAACACCUGAAAGAACCCAGAGGUGAAGGAAGUGGUAUAUUUAUGGUAGGUCUGGGCCAAGAGGAAAGGAGUCCAGUGCAGGGACUUCUCCAAGACCUGCCUCCUGUCAGUAUUGCUGUGGUGCCUUGGGGCACUUCCUUUAUUGCAAAAAGAAAACACAGUUCUCAUUUAUCUCAAAAGGUAAUUCUUAUGAAAAUGUACUUUAAAGUAUUUACUGUAAAUAUACUCAUUCCAUUCUUUUUCUGGCACCAGACUAAAAAUUUCUAACCUUUUAAGUGAAUGGUAUGUUCAAUUUCAUGUGAAUUUUUGCUGACAACUAAUUAAAAGGUGUACGUGUGCAUGCAUAUUCCCAGUGGACCAGGAGAAGGCAAUAUGGAAACAAAUUUCACUGUGCUCCCAAAAGUAGCAAUAUAAGAAUUUGAGGGGUGGGGUGGUGUGCAUUAGUAUAAAUAAUAUAUAUGCAGUCUAGACCAGUAGUUUUAUAAAAAGGAAUCAUUUUUUGUUUUAAAAAUAUCAUGCCCUCAAAAUGAUGAGGGAUAAAGUGUAAGAUAUUCUUCAGCUUUAAUUAUUUUUUAAUUUUAUUCAGGUCAGAGCACUUUUUUAAAUAGCAAUACAACAGACAAGAAAAUACUCAAAAUAUUUAAAAUUGUAUUUAUACCAAGAGUCCAUAUGUUUUAAAUAUUUUCUAAUACUUGAGCAGUUGCUGUCUGACUGGCUUCCAAAUAUGCCAAGAGUUAAGCAUAAUAUUUUCAACAUACGUGCUUUUUACUGGUUUAUAUUAUCUAAUAAUAAUCCUUAAGUGUCUCCAGUGCAACUGAUGUUUACAGGUCUUUUGUGUUUUUCCUCCUUCUUUAGAAGGCUUGGGGAGCCACAACAAAGUUACUGUAUAAAACACUAAUGAUGGACUAACUUCUGAUGUAAUAAAUGAGUUGGCUACCACCUCGAUGUAAAAAUUUGUAAAGGGAAUUUUUCACCAUUUUGAGUGUUAAAUGUAUUUUUAACUGUCUGGUUUGUACUUCUACAACUUUUGUACUACCAAAGAAGAGUUAAAAAUAAAAAUGUUAAACACA